UUAGUACCGUACCUGUGCAGCUG
rnacentral:piRNA from 1 species